GCGCACCAGGCGCGAAACUUCACACUGUGCGAAAGCACGAUGAGGGAAUCCCAAGUGCUUGCACGUAAGUGUAAGCUGUUUCUCUGUCUAAAACGCAGAGAGAGUAAGGGCUGGGUAAGACGGGUGCCAGCCGCCGCGGUAAUACCUGCAGCUCAAGUGGUGACCGUUAUUAUUGGGCCUAAAACGUCCGUAGCCGGUUUAAUAAAUGCCUGGGUAAAUUGUGUAGCUUAACUAUACGAAUUCCGGGUAGACUGUUAAACUUGAGACCGGGAGAAGUUAGAGGUACUCCUGGGGUAGAGGUGAAAUUCUGUAAUCCUAGGGGGACCACCAGUGGCGAAGGCGUCUAACUAGAACGGGUCUGACGGUGAGGGACGAAGCCCUGGGGCGCAAAACGGGGAUUAGAUACCCGGGUAGU
rnacentral:rRNA from 1 species